rnacentral:rRNA from 1 species
AGAUUUGAUCAUGGCUCAGAACGAACGCUGGCGGCAGGCCUAACACAUGCAAGUCGAACGCGACCUUCGGGUCGAGUGGCGCACGGGUGAGUAACGCGUGGGAAUCUGCCCUGUGGUACGGAAUAACACCGGGAAACUGGUGCUAAUACCGUAUGUCCCCUGAGGGGGAAAGAUUUAUCGCCAUGGGAGGAGCCCGCGUA